rnacentral:rRNA from 1 species
GACGUAGGGCGCGAGCGUUGUCCGGAUUUAUUGGGCGUAAAGAGCUCGUAGGCGGCUUGUUGCGUCGGCUGUGAAAACCCAUGGCUCAACCGUGGGCUUGCAGCCGAUACGGGCAGGCUAGAGUUCGGUAGGGGAGACUGGAAUUCCUGGUGUAGCGGUGAAAUGCGUAGAUAUCAGGAGGAACACCCGUGGUGCAGACGGCUUGCUGGACCGUGACUGACGCUGAGGCACGAAAGCGUGGGUAGCAAACAGG